CACCUGUAGUAAAACCUUUAUCCUUAAGACUUUCAACGUCAAAUCAAUUGUUAGUAAAGCAGUACAGGCGAGCCAUCUCAGCGUGAGCACUCUUGCUACAUGUAUUUCGUUCUUGUUUGUAAUAUAUAGAAAAAGAAUGCCUUUAUCAAAGAAUGCCUAUAUUGUCUUUACAAUGUGUCACUAACUCUGAAUCCUCCAAUAAUAGUUUUUGAAAACAUUGAACAUAAAUAUUCGAAGAUCUACAAUCAAAACCAACAUCUUCUGGCAAACAUUCAGAUAUGUCAUAUCCCAUACACAACUGCUUGAAAAAGUAGAACAAUUGAUGGAUUGAUUAUCGGUUGCUUAACGUCCAGUGACAAGUAGUUCAUGGAUGUUCAGGACAGUUUAGUAGUGACAUGGAUGUAUACAAUUUAAAUAUAUCAGUGUUUAAUACGUACUGCUUUAUUAGUCGUUUAACUUUUUUGAAUAUGUUGUGUACAAGUUGUAGUUGUGUAAGCAAUAGUAGUUUGACAUGUAAAAUUAGUAAUGUGUUCUCUUUUAUUUUUCUCAGUUAUUUGUUUAUUAUUUUUUCAUGGCCUACCCACGUUAAGAGAGAGUAAUAUCUCUUGCAUGUAAAAGACACCGUGGCCUUGUAGAUUUCGAAAAAGAGCAGUCUAAUGCCGCUACAAGUAGGCACUCGCACCAGCAAAGUGGAAAGAUAUAAAUUGUAAUAACUUGUUUCCCAAUCCACUAUGAAUAAAUAUGUUUAAACUAAACUAUAGAAAACAUAAAACAGUACAUUUCCCCCUCAAUUGUUCCGAUUGUAAUAGAUAUAAGAAGAUGUGGUAAGUUUAUUUUUACUUCUUCAAAUUGCUCUUACCUGACCGAGUACCAGGAUGAAAAAAGUCAAUUUGCAUUUGUUCUAAACAGAAGGCCGGGUGUGGUCAAAGCGUGGGUCAAAGGUAUUUCGAUAUUUACCAACGAUAUGUCUUUUAACAAUUUACAGAUCCAUUUACAUAUAGUCGACAGUAUUCUACAAUUGUCUGUAUAUCAAAUGUGUACUGUGAUAGUUUAAUUCUUACUUUUUUUAACUGAAUACUUGUACUUUCAAACGCAAUCAUGUGUUAUUUAUCGUUCUUAAAAUGAAAUAUUUGCCACUGGACGUUAAGUAAACACCUAUUAAUCAAUGUUUUACAUAUUACAUAUUGUUAAAUGUUUCUUUCUAUUAUAUGAAUGAAAAACAGUAUUAAAAUCAAUAUCGGUCCUUUCGGUUUACAGCCCGAAAUAUAAAUUAUUCCAUUUAGAUUUAUGGCUUUAUAUAUAAACAUCCGCAUUCGAUAAUAAACCCUUUGUAAAGAAAGUACAAUACUAUGUAUCAGUAAACGUUGUAUUUUUAGAAAAUAAAUACAAAGAAGUAAAGGAUUACACGAAUUUCGCAGAACAAAACAAGUCAAUUUAACCAAUAUAUGUACAUAGUAUACCAGUUACUUAUUGUGGUACACCAAACGGAACGUUUUUUCUUUAUUCCAAUCGAUUUGUUUUCAUGAAACAAAAUGUGCAACAUGAUAUGUGGUCUUGCCUGUUGUGCAUGUAUGAUUGCACUAGCUGUAGUUUUGAAUGAAAAAAAAGAACAAAUAUCUUGUUUCUUUAAUUGUUCAUAUGAGUGCUACCUUGAUCAAUAUGGAUUGAAACCUGGACCACAUUUAUGCAAAAUGUCUUAUGUAGCUGCAUUCGGAAGACGUUUUAAUGAAGGAAAGGAUUUAAUUUCAUAUAAAGAGGCUUAUGUGACACCGAUAGAUGUUUAAACUAUGUGCGAACUUUGGUGCUUCAAAAUGCCAAAGAUUCAGGGUUCAGAAAAGUAAAUAAUAAAACGGAGUAAACUUAAGGUGGUACAUAACACAACUGGUAGAUAACUCUGUAAAAAUCAAAAUAAUCACGUUCAUUGUUAAGGAAAUAUUAAGCUUCUCAAUGAUCAAAAUUAGUGUCUGUCAAACUGCUAUCUAUCCAAUAAAAUUUUUCCGAUAAAGUGUGUGGUUCCAGUUUUUUGUAAUUUUUAUAUUUUUUUCAAAGAGUCAAAGUAAAUAUUUUGUCAAAAUUUUAUGAAAAUUAAACGAGCCAAAUUAAUUUUCGUCAAGAUGUUUGGUACAUGUACCACCUUUAUUUAGAAAAUGUAUUUUUAUGUCCGACAUCAUACCAUUUCGUUUUUGUUUUUGUUUAUAAUAUAUACUACAAGAAUGAAAUGGUAAUACAUUUUGACAUCGAAAUGAAUUCAACUUCAGACAGGACUGAACAAUGCUGUAAAAGUUUGCAAAAGUACGAAACACAAUAUUCGAAUAAAGUAAACCAGUAACUUUGUAGGUGGAGGAAAAAAUGAAUACACAUUACUUAUUAACCAUGUCAGUGAUGAAGGAAUUCAAUUUAAAACAUCCUAUAAAAGAAAAAAAAUGCAAAGGUUUGAUACUUAAAAACCCUAAAAAAUAAAUGUAUUAGAUUUUGUAUCUGAACCGACCAGUCUUUGCUCGAACUCUUUAAUACUUGCUUAACGGAGAAACAGCACAAACCAAAGAAUUAUGAUUAAGGUCCAUAUCAAAUUUAGAUAAAAUAUUUUUUUUUCUUUCUAUUGAUUUUGACAGUGUUGACAGCUUUUAACGUAUUAUAUGUUAGUAGUUUUUAGCCAUAGUUGAUGUUCAGAUAAGUUUUUAAGGUCUAUUUCCUUUUGAAAAAUACCUCACCCUUGACAAAAAAAAAUGUUAGAAAUAUAUUUAUAUGAAUGGAAUACACAAACCAACAAAGUAUUAUGGUGCUCCAUGCAUGUGGCCAGUGUUGUCAGAAGCACAAGCUAUCAAUUCAAGCAAAAAAUAAGUAAAAUUUACGAUUUAAUUUAUAAAAAUGACGUCCAAAAGACAUGAUUAAGGUAACCGGUGUAAUGUAUUAAUUUUGUAUUUGUCGGUUUUUUUUCACAUUUUUGUAUUGAUUUUGUAUUUGUCGUUUUUUUUCAAAUUUUUUAUUAAAUGAUUACGAUCAUCAUA